AUACGGAGGAUGCGAGCGUUAUCCGGAUUUAUUGGGUUUAAAGGGAGCGUAGGUGGGAUAUUAAGUCAGCUGUGAAAGUUUGGGGCUCAACCUUAAAAUUGCAGUUGAUACUGGUUUCCUUGAGUACGGUACAGGAGGGCGGAAUUCGUGGUGUAGCGGUGAAAUGCUUAGAUAUCACGAAGAACUCCGAUCGCGAAGGCAGCUCACCGGGCCGGAACUGACACUGAUGCUCGAAAGUGCGGGUAUCAAACAGGAUUAGAUACCCUGGUAGUCCGCACAGUAAACGAUGAAUACUCGCUGUUUGCGAUACACGGUAAGCGGCCAAGCGAAAGCGUUAAGUAUUCCACCUGGGGAGUACGCCGGCAACGGUGAAACUCAAAGGAAUUGGCGGGG
rnacentral:rRNA from 1 species